UGUUGGCGGUAAUACGGAGGGUGCGAGCGUUAAUCGGAAUUACUGGGCGUAAAGGGUGCGUAGGUGGUUGAUUAAGUUAUCUGUGAAAUUCCUGGGCUUAACCUGGGACGGUCAGAUAAUACUGGUUGACUCGAGUAUGGGAGAGGGUAGUGGAAUUUCCGGUGUAGCGGUGAAAUGCGUAGAGAUCGGAAGGAACACCAGUGGCGAAGGCGGCUACCUGGCCUAAUACUGACACUGAGGCACGAAAGCGUGGGGAGCAAACAGGAUUAGAUACCCUGGUAGUCCACGCUGUAAACGAUGUCAACUAAGCUGUUG
rnacentral:rRNA from 1 species